UCCUCCUCUCUUUUGCUGUUAGCUGGUGCUAACUGAAGUAAAAGCGAGUGUCAUCUCUCCGGCCCUCACCGCUGCCUUCACCACCAUUUACCCACGCGGAUGUUGAGCUUCCCGCCAGGGCUCAGGGAGCUCACAGUGGGAAGCAGAGGGCUUGAGAAGGGGUGGCUCUGCCUGACACUCCCCGGCUCCCAGCUGGGCCCACUUCCAGGUAGUGGGUUGGGGCAGGACCCGCAGGGCACAGUGCUUCCCCUGCCCUUCCCCACGGGGUUGGAGGCUCUGGAGGCAGCACCCUCCCUGGGGAAUCCUGGGGAUUCAGGAACAUCCCGAAGGUGCUCAUUUUCAUCCGUGGUUAAAUGCUGAGUUUGUCUUGGCUGCUGGGUUGAGCCCUGGAGCCACAUCCUGGCCGGAGCAGCUCUCCCGUCUAUAGGUCCUGGCCCACCUUGCCCCUUGUGCUUCUGCACUGGCGCCCCUUGUGCUUCUGCACUGGCACCCCUUGAGAGGGCAGCUUGGGCAAAAGAAAGGCUUGCUUUUGAGUAAAUUGGUGGCAGACCCCUCUCAGCGAACUUCAGCCCACUUGCUUUUGGAAAAUGACUCUGCGUGUUAUUAUGUUUUGCAAGACAUCAAAGGAUGUGGAAAAUCCAUUAUAAAUACCAGGGUAUGUUGCUCGCCCGAAGGGCCAGGGUUACUGAGGUGGGGGCGGGGGUGGAGCCUUGGGUUUCCAUUCAGUUCCUUCUGCUCUCCUUCCCCUCCGUGGCCCCAAGCAGGGACCUCUCCUCCCUGGGGCUUGACCCAGUGGCUGGAGGGAGGGAGGGGCCUGUCUGAAUUCACCCUCUGCACUGCUGCACCUGGAGCUGCUGCUGCGCCCAGGGUUCUUGGGUGCACCGGUAAAGGCGAGCAGCUGGUGGGUCAGAGGGAGGAGGCAAAGGGAAAUGAAAUGCUCCAAGCCCUCUCAAGGCAGAGAUUGGCAUCUUCCAGCAUUGAAGAGGCACUGUUGGGCGGGUGAGGCCUUCGGGAGGAAACAAACGCGCAGGUAUCUGACAGGCACCACAACCUGAGCAUGUGUAGAUGGACGCUGGUUUCUUCUGCUCUCUGCCUCAUCUCAGGUCCGGCCCUGCCACCUGUCCAGGGGCUUAGCCCAGAACCCCAGAAUCUGCUUUGAUGCCCCCGGGUCUGCAGGCAGACUUUGCUCUCGAAGGCACCUGAGUCUCACCUCCUUGGCCGUCAGCUUGGCACAAGUUACCCUGGCUGCUCCCCAGACUGUUCCCAUGGCCUGGCCCUGGCCGGGGACUCCCACUCUGCUUGCGGUCCUGAAGACAGCCAGAGAGGCCUUUGAGAGUGGAAGGCAGACACCAUAUGCCACCGCCCCCAGCUGACACUCAUAGGGGCUGCCCCUCAUGCUCUGGAUAAAACUCCGACUGGCUACUGUGCCUCUUUGGGUCUCCCCGGCCCAGGCCUGGCCAGGGGUUCCAGCCUUCACCAGGGGAAGGAGCAUCUGUGAGUCCAGGGAGUGUGCCUGGCCCAAUGCCUCUGCCCAGGGCCUUUGUGCCUGCCGUCCCCUCCCCAAUUCCACGCCUCCUGUUGCCCUCCGCAGAGGCACCUCUCCCGUGACCUCCAAGCACACCACCCACUAAAUCUCCGCCCUUCCUCUGCCUGCCUGCCCUCCCAGCACAGCCACUCUGUCCGCUCAGGCUCCUGAGCUGCUUACUUGUUCACCUGUCUUCUGCUGGAGACCAGGGAGCCCUCCCCUCGCUGGCUGUGGGGUCUGGGAACAAAGCAGUCUUAAUAAAUACUUCUCGAAAGAAUGGAGUAUGUGGUUGAAUAAAUAAG
rnacentral:lncRNA from 10 species